rnacentral:rRNA from 1 species
UGUGAAGUUACUUAAACAACCAGGAGGUUGGCUUAGAAGCAGCCAUCCUUUAAAGAAAGCGUAAUAGCUCACUGGUCUAGUGAUUUUGCGCGGAAAAUAUAACGGGGCUAAAGUAAGUACCGAAGCUGUAGACUUGCGCACAACUUAGAUUAUUUAAGUUUAGAAUAUGAGAAACUAAGUUAUGUUUAGUUAUAUUUUUACUGAUUUUUAUAGAGUAAAGAUAGAAAUAAAACUUAGUAAAAUCAGUAAAAAUAUUCUUAGGCUAAAGUUAAGUAGUUUAAGUUGUGUGCAAGUGGUAGGAGAGCGUUCUAUUUGCGUCGAAGGUAUACCGGUAAGGAGUGCUGGAGCGAAUAGAAGUGAGCAUGCAGGCAUGAGUAGCGAUAAUUAAUGUGAGAAUCAUUAACGCCGUAAACCCAAGGUUUCCUACGCGAUGCUCGUCAUCGUAGGGUUAGUCGGGUCCUAAGUCGAGUCCGAAAGGGGUAGACGAUGGCAAAUUGGUUAAUAUUCCAAUACCAACAUUAGUGUGCGAUGGAAGGACGCUUAGGGCUAAGGGGGCUAGCGGAUGGAAGUGCUAGUCUAAGGUCGUAGGAGGUUAUACAGGCAAAUCCGUAUAACAAUACUCCGAGAACUGAAAGGCUUUUUGAAGUCUUCGGAUGGAUAGAAGAACCCCUGAUGCCGUCGAGCCAAGAAAAGUUUCUAAGUUUAGCUAAUGUUGCCCGUACCGUAAACCGACACAGGUGGGUGGGAUGAGUAUUCUAAGGCGCGUGGAAGAACUCUCUUUAAGGAACUCUGCAAAAUAGCACCGUAUCUUCGGUAUAAGGUGUGGUUAGCUUUGUAUUAGGAUUUACUCCGAAAGCAAGGAAACUUACAACAAAGAGUCCCUCCCGACUGUUUACCAAAAACACAGCACUCUGCUAACUCGUAAGAGGAUGUAUAGGGUGUGACGCCUGCCCGGUGCUCGAAGGUUAAUUGAUGGGGUUAGCAUUAGCGAAGCUCUUGAUCGAAGCCCGAGUAAACGGCGGCCGUAACUAUAACGGUCCUAAGGUAGCGAAAUUCCUUGUCGGUUAAAUACCGACCUGCAUGAAUGGCGUAACGAGAUGGGAGCUGUCUCAAAGAGGGAUCCAGUGAAAUUGUAGUGGAGGUGAAAAUUCCUCCUACCCGCGGCAAGACGGAAAGACCCCGUGGACCUUUACUACAGCUUGACACUGCUACUUGGAUAAGAAUGUGCAGGAUAGGUGGGAGGCUUUGAGUAUAUGACGCCAGUUGUAUAUGAGCCAUUGUUGAGAUACCACUCUUUCUUAUUUGGGUAGCUAACCAGCUUGAGUUAUCCUCAAGUGGGACAAUGUCUGGUGGGUAGUUUGACUGGGGCGGUCGCCUCCCAAAUAAUAACGGAGGCUUACAAAGGUUGGCUCAGAACGGUUGGAAAUCGUUCGUAGAGUAUAAAGGUAUAAGCCAGCUUAACUGCAAGACAUACAAGUCAAGCAGAGACGAAAGUCGGUCUUAGUGAUCCGGUGGUUCUGUGUGGAAGGGCCAUCGCUCAAAGGAUAAAAGGUACCCCGGGGAUAACAGGCUGAUCUCCCCCAAGAGCUCACAUCGACGGGGAGGUUUGGCACCUCGAUGUCGGCUCAUCGCAUCCUGGGGCUGGAGCAGGUCCCAAGGGUAUGGCUGUUCGCCAUUUAAAGCGGUACGCGAGCUGGGUUCAGAACGUCGUGAGACAGUUCGGUCCCUAUCUGCCGUGGGCGUAAGAAGAUUGAAGAGAUUUGACCCUAGUACGAGAGGACCGGGUUGAACAAACCACUGGUGUAGCUGUUGUUCUGCCAAGAGCAUCGCAGCGUAGCUAAGUUUGGAAAGGAUAAACGCUGAAAGCAUCUAAGCGUGAAGCCAACUCUAAGAUGAAUCUUCUCUAAGCUCUCUAGAAGACUACUAGUUUGAUAGGCUGGGUGUGUAAUGGAUGAAAGUCCUUUAGCUGACCAGUACUAAUAGAGCGUUUGGCUUAUCUUU